UACGUAGGGUGCAAGCGUUAAUCGGAAUUACUGGGCGUAAAGCGUGCGCAGGCGGCUUUGCAAGACAGAUGUGAAAUCCCCGGGCUUAACCUGGGAACUGCAUUUGUGACUGCAUGGCUGGAGUGCGGCAGAGGGGGAUGGAAUUCCGCGUGUAGCAGUGAAAUGCGUAGAUAUCUGGAGGAACACCGGUGGCGAAGGCGGCAUCCUGGACCAACACUGACGCUGAGGAGCGAAAGCCAGGGGAGCAAACGGG
rnacentral:rRNA from 1 species